CACAGUUGUUAAAUCAACACGCUAGAAGAUUAAUAGUCUCUCGGUUUAUUUCACCGGGUACCCAUUUUCUGCUGGGUGAACAGAGGCAAUUUUGAACAAACUCACUUGCCUAA